GCCCUCAUAGUUCAAUGGAUAGAACAGUUCCGUCCUAAGGAAUAGAUCUCCGUUCGACUCGGGGUGAGGGCA
rnacentral:tRNA from 1 species